CCUACGGGAGGCAGCAGUGAGGAAUAUUGGUCAAUGGCCGGAAGGCUGAACCAGCCAAGCCGCGUGAAGGACGAAGGUGCCAAGCAUUGUAAACUUCUUUUGUCAAGGGACAAAAUCAGGCUCGAGAGCCUGACCGAGGGUACUUGAAGAAAAAGCAUCGGACAACUACGUGACAGCAGCCGCGGUAAUACGGAGGAUGCGAGCGUUAUCCGGAUCUAUUGGGUUAAAGGGUGCGUAGGAGGACUGUUAAGUCAGCGGUAAAAGCCCGGGGGUCAACCCCAGCGAGCCGUUGAAACUGGCUGUCUUGAGAUAUCGAGAGGUAUGCGGAAUGCGCAGUGUAGCGGUGAAAUGCUUAGAUAUUGCGCAGAACUCCAGUUGCGAAGGCGGCCUACCGGCGGCGAUCUGACGCUGAGGCACGAAAGCGUGGGUAUCAAACAGGAUUAGAUACCCUAGUAGUC
rnacentral:rRNA from 1 species